rnacentral:rRNA from 1 species
GGAUUAGAUACCCUGGUAGUCCACGCUGUAAACGAUGAUUACUCGUUUUUGGUACAUAGUAUCAGAGACCAAGCGAAAGUGAUAAGUAAUCCACCUGGGGAGUACGUUCGCAAGAAUGAAACUCAAAGGAAUUGACGGGGGCCCGCACAAGCGGUGGAGCAUGUGGUUUAAUUCGAUGAUACGCGAGGAACCUUACCAAGGCUUAAAUGCAUAAUGACAGGGAUGGAAACAUCCUUUUCUUCGGACAGAAUGCAAGGUGCUGCAUGGCUGUCGUCAGCUCGUGCCG